GUAAACUUAUCGAAAGAUAGGGACACAAAGCUAUGGGGCUAAGGCAAAGUUUUAUUUGUUAUGCUUGCCAGGUUGC
rnacentral:ncRNA from 1 species